rnacentral:rRNA from 1 species
UACGUAGGGUGCAAGCGUUAAUCGGAAUUACUGGGCGUAAAGCGUGCGCAGGCGGUUUUGUAAGACAGGCGUGAAAUCCCCGGGCUCAACCUGGGAAUGGCGCUUGUGACUGCAAAGCUGGAGGGCGGCAGAGGGGGAUGGAAUUCCGCGUGUAGCAGUGAAAUGCGUAGAUAUGCGGAGGAACACCGAUGGCGAAGGCAAUCCCCUGGGCCUGCACUGACGCUCAUGCACGAAAGCGUGGGGAGCAAACAGG